rnacentral:tRNA from 1 species
GCCGGGGUUCAAUCUGACCGAAAGCUCAGAGGUAGAGCGCAGGACUCAUAAUCCUGAGGCCGCGGGUUCGACCCCCGCCCCCGGCA